AGAGUUUGAUCCUGGCUCAGGACGAACGCUGGCGGCACGCUUAACACAUGCAAGUCGAACGAGAGAAGAGGAGCUUGCUUUUCUGAUCUAGUGGCGGACGGGUGAGUAACACGUGAGCAAUCUGCCUUUCAGAGGGGGAUACCGAUUGGAAACGAUCGUUAAUACCGCAUAACAUAAUUGAACCGCAUGAUUUGAUUAUCAAAGAUUUAUCGCUGAAAGAUGAGCUCGCGUCUGAUUAGCUAGUUGGUAAGGUAACGGCUUACCAAGGCGACGAUCAGUAGCCGGACUGAGAGGUUGAUCGGCCACAUUGGGACUGAGACACGGCCCAGACUCCUACGGGAGGCAGCAGUGGGGAAUAUUGCACAAUGGAGGAAACUCUGAUGCAGCGAUGCCGCGUGAGGGAAGAAGGUUUUAGGAUUGUAAACCUCUGUCUUCAGGGACGAAAAAAGACGGUACCUGAGGAGGAAGCUCCGGCUAACUACGUGCCAGCAGCCGCGGUAAUACGUAGGGAGCGAGCGUUGUCCGGAAUUACUGGGUGUAAAGGGAGCGUAGGCGGGAUCGCAAGUCAGAUGUGAAAACUAUGGGCUUAACCCAUAAGCUGCAUUUGAAACUGUGGUUCUUGAGUGAAGUAGAGGUAAGCGGAAUUCCUAGUGUAGCGGUGAAAUGCGUAGAUAUUAGGAGGAACAUCAGUGGCGAAGGCGGCUUACUGGGCUUUAACUGACGCUGAGGCUCGAAAGCGUGGGGAGCAAACAGGAUUAGAUACCCUGGUAGUCCACGCCGUAAACGAUGAUUACUAGGUGUGGGGGGACUGACCCCUUCCGUGCCGCAGCAAACGCAAUAAGUAAUCCACCUGGGGAGUACGACCGCAAGGUUGAAACUCAAAGGAAUUGACGGGGGCCCGCACAAGCAGUGGAGUAUGUGGAUUAAUUCGAAGCAACGCGAAGAACCUUACCAGGUCUUGACAUCGUAUGCAUAGCUCAGAGAUGAGUGAAAUCUCUUCGGAGACAUAUAGACAGGUGGUGCAUGGUUGUCGUCAGCUCGUGUCGUGAGAUGUUGGGUUAAGUCCGCAACGAGCGCAACCCUUACUGUUAGUUGCUACGCAAGAGCACUCUAGCAGGACUGCCGUUGACAAAACGGAGGAAGGUGGGGAUGACGUCAAAUCAUCAUGCCCCUUAUGACCUGGGCCUCACACGUACUACAAUGGCUGUCAACAGAGGGAAGCAAAGCCGCGAGGUGGAGCGAACCCCUAAAAGCAGUCUUAGUUCGGAUUGUAGGCUGCAACCCGCCUACAUGAAGUCGGAAUUGCUAGUAAUCGCAGAUCAGCAUGCUGCGGUGAAUACGUUCCCGGGCCUUGUACACACCGCCCGUCACGCCAUGGGAGUCGGUAACACCCGAAGCCUGUAGUCUAACCGCAAGGAGGACGCAGUCGAAGGUGGGAUUGAUGACUGGGGUGAAGUCGUAACAAGGUA
rnacentral:rRNA from 1 species